rfam:TPA: Bos taurus chromosome 16, whole genome shotgun sequence.
UCCCUGGUGGCUCAUAUGGUUAAGCAUCUGCUUCCAAUGCAGGAGACCUGGGUUCGAUCCCUGGCUCAGGAA